rnacentral:rRNA from 1 species
GACGAACUGCCCAAACGUUGUUCGGAAUCACUGGGCUUAAAGGGCGCGUAGGCGGCAGAUCAAGUCAGGGGUGAAAUCCGGUAGCUCAACUGUCGAAGUGCCUUUGAUACUGAUUUGCUCGAGGGAGAUAGGGGUCUGUGGAACUUCUGGUGGAGCGGUGAAAUGCGUUGAUAUCAGAAGGAACGCCGGUGGCGAAAGCGACGGACUGGAUCUCUUCUGACGCUGAGGCGCGAAAGCUAGGGGAGCAAACGGG